UAUAAAAAUUUAAACAAGUCAAAACAUUUUGCCUUUUUCAUCAAAUACCAAAGAUUUGUAUUAACCUGAUUAUGCAGUAUGCACCAGUUAAACAACUACCAUAGCAAUUGUUUUUAAAACAUUGAAAGUAGUACAUAUCGUAUAAGCAUUAGUUGACGCUCUUGAGUAUUGAAACAAAUGAAAAAAGGUCAUAAACAUAAACUUUCAAAAUUAUUAUAGAAUUUAUAAAUCUAAAUGUUUCUUACAUUUUACGUAUUUAUUAUUCACGUGCGGAAAUACUCACAUGAAAUGUUUGAUAUUGAAUAUACAUAUCGAACUAAACUUUAUAAUGCUCGAAAUUUAGUAAACUGCAUAAUUAACAUUUGAAUUCAUGAUUAAUUUGCAUCAUUUGGAUCAACUGAAACUAUAGGAUCAUGUAUUGAGCUCAUCUAUAUUUU
rnacentral:lncRNA from 1 species